rnacentral:lncRNA from 10 species
GUUUGAGCUGGGACACUGCUAUUUUUCCCACCUUCAGACUCAAACUGAGACAUGAGCUCUUUCCAGGUCUCAAGCCUGCUGGCUUUUGGAACUUACACCACUGACUCUGCUGGUUCUCAGGCCUUUGGACUCAGCCUGGAACUACACCAUCAGCUCUCCUGGGUUUCCAGCUUGCUGAAUGCAGAUCUUAGGACCUGUUGGCCUCUGUAAUUGUAGAGUAAAAGGGGAGGAAAGCUUCCAGAAGUCUAAGAAAUUGAAUGAAAAGCGAAGAUGUGAAAAAAUGAGAGAAUAGGAAGGCCAUGAGAAAAUGGCUUUGAAGGGGGAGAGAGAACAAACAGGAAUGAGGACUGUGAGGUGCAACAGCUGAUCUGAGAACAGCUGAUGGAUUCUGAACAUGACCCUCCACACAGGUAGAUGGGGUGCCUGUGAUCUUGAGAAUCACACAAAAGCAGAGUUUAGGAGAAGUGAUCCCACAUGGAUAAGCGUAGAAAAGCCUGGAGCCCAGGAGGCCAGCAGCAUAUACCUGUCCAGGUAGGAGAAGACAUGUGGGGUGCGAUAGCAGCGCCUAGCUCAGUGACAGGAAGUCUCUCGUGCCUUGAGAACAGAGGACUCUCACACUCCCUUGGAUUUAUCAACAGCUCGGAGAGCAGUUCUGCACCCUGCCCAGGUACAAAGGCCAAAGAGCCCAGGGAGAAGGCCACGUGCCAGCACCUAAGAAUCCGAGAUCCUUUACACAUCCCCAGUCUGUCACUCAAGCCCUCCGGGUCUCAGUUUCCCUCCCUGUGACAUGCGUACCAGAAGGAAUGUGAGGAUAAAAUGUGAAAGAACAUUGGAGGAGGAAGUGGCCCAGUGAGAAGGGGGAAACCACCUUCCACCAGAAACUGCUUUGGUGUGAAGCCUCAGAAUACCCAAUCAGCGGCUGCCGGCUGGAAAAGCAGGCUUUUUAUUGACAAACCCGCAGAGGAUCACCUUCACAAAACACACCCAGGGCCUAAUUAAAAUCACAGAAGAACCACCUGCCAAAUCUCACGGUAAGUCACUGCUUAAUGCAGGGCUGUCAGAGCCGGCUCAGGAGAAUGAGGUGGCAGGGAAUGCUCAGUGAUGUGAAAGGAGCCCAGGCCAGGCCCCACGGUGGUGGGAGCAUGGCCUGAUGGACGGAGAGGGAUGGAGGGCUGGGCCCAAGCAGGACUGUGGAGAGGGCAGGGACUUCCCAGUACAGCAAUUCCUGGAGCUGGAGCUAGAGCUUAUCUCACAUUUACAAUCCCAUAGACUCCAGCAAAUGCUGUCCACACAGCACACUUACCACAAACCCAGGGCAUCCCUUUCUCCUCAAGGGAACUUCAACAGACAAGCUUCUGCCCUAUAUUAAUUGUCAUGCCACCAAUGUAACUAAAACACCAUAUAUAUUCCAUGAAAGGAAACAGGAAAUGAACUCCGAUAAGGCAGAAAACUCAAAUCACUGGAGCUCUUGUCCAGCAUUCUGAUUUAAGGAAUGCAGGCAAAUGAUCCACGAGCUAAUACCAGAGAUGUGAUCAUAACAGCUGUACUUACAGACACCUCACCAUACGCCAGCCCAUUUCCUAGAGCCUUUCUGUAGUAACUUCUUUAAUUCCCACAGCCCUAUGAAACAUCAUCUCCAUUUUGCAGAUGAGGAAACUAAAUGUGAAGAAGUGGAAUAACUUGCCCGAGGUCCCUAGGGAGUAGCAGAGCUGGAAUCUGAGUCCAGGCAAGAAUCUAGAUCCCAAAACCUGAGCCCUUUUCAAGAGUGCCAAAGUUCAAAAAUCCUCUAUACCUUGCAUCUCUAAACCAAAUCAUGGGACUAGUACAGGAGCCUCCGCCAACAAGAAAAGUCAGAAGAGGGGCUUUGUUUUGUCUCCUGAUUUUUCUCAAUUUUCUAAAAUGAACAUGAAGUGCUUCUUUAGACAGAAAAAUGAAAACUAAACCAACUUUUUUUCCCAAUGACCACCGCCCCACCUCCUGCAGUCUUCCUUCAAACCCUUCCCAGGAGCAGUGCAGCUCAGAGCUCUCUACCCUACCUGAGCACUCAGCAUGUUCAGCACAGCCUGCACUGAAUUAGCUCCUCAAAAACAGAAACAUUGAUGCAACCACAGCAAGGCUGAGUGCCAGGCAGGCCACCAGGAGACUGGGCUGGAAUCAGCUGUCAGCUACCUAGUGAUCCAAUUAAGAAAUGUUGGUUAAUACUGGGGGUACAAUUAAAAAUACAUCAGCCAUAUUUUUUUAAGCCUCUUGUGAUUUUUUCAAGAACUUCCUUGAAAUAAAAAGCUUUGCUCAUUAUCGAUUAGCCAGCAGAAGGCAUCAGGACUUAUAAUUAAGUUUUCUUGGAUAAGGAAAAACUCCCAGUUGCCCUGUAGAAUUUGACGAAUGGCAAUCAGAUGGCUUAUGCCUGAGCACUUCCUUAGGGCCUCCAGAAGGAAACCUGUACAACCUUGGUAGCUUCUGGAGGUUACCCUGAGAUGUACACACAUGCGGUUCAUUUCUGUGGCUCUAGGAAGGUCUUCCUGGGCAUUGGCAAAGGCUCCUUCAAAAGGAGACAAGAAGAAUGAGAACGAGCAAUAUCCACCCUACCUGAACUGGUGGGUACUGAUGCAGAAAUCAGGAAAUUAAAAGCACCCUCCGUGGAUUUAUUGUUUAAUCAUGAACACCAGGCCUGAAUUCUAAGAACACCGGUGAAAUACAAGCCAGUUAGAACGGUUCAGAUGAACCAACAAUAUCGUCUACACAGGAUGCCACAAACUCUUCCCUGGCCAUUUUUCAUCUGCUCAAAUUUGCAAAAGACUCGUUUUACAAAACGACUGUGAUGUGCACUGCUAACAGGAAAUGGGUAAGGAAUCCCGAAUAAGCUCAUCUCUCAGGAAAAGGUAGUUUCCCUUUUGGCUUUAUCACCCUAACCAAGCUCCUCUCCUUCCAGGGGACUUCAGGAGUCAUUUAUCCCAAGCUGAGUAGUUACAUGGCAGAAAAACCUCUAGCCCCAUGCCUAUCAUGUUCCAGCUAUGGAAUGUGCAGCAAGCCUCUUCCUCCAAUCUUCAAUUCUUACAACUGAUGAACAGGAAUCAAGUUCUGCUUAGGUCACAGGGCUUUCUGUGAGAAUCAAAUGAGAUGACAUCUAGCACGGCACUUUAAAAGCAUUAAAGCCCUAUACUAGCUAAUAUUAGUCAUUAAUUGCAUGGAAUCAUAGAAUAGAAUGCAUAGAAACUUAGUCCUGAAAGGGAGUCCUAAUUUGAAAACUAUUUGAUAAAACUCACACUGCAGGCUCUAACCCACCAACUCACUGGCCUUUUGUUGCCAGACUUUGGCUACCAGGAAGAAACAUCCCACUCCAUCCAAGCACAUUUGUACCAUGAGUCUUUGAGCACACCAAUAGGACUAUGAAACAGGCAGCCAAAUCCCUAUC